AUUGAACGCUGGCGGCAUGCCUAACACAUGCAAGUCGAACGGAAACGAUGGAAGCUUGCUUCCAGGCGUCGAGUGGCGGACGGGUGAGUAAUGCUUAGGAAUCUGCCCAAUAGUGGGGGACAACCAGGAGAAAUUCUGGCUAAUACCGCAUACGCACUACGGUGGAAAGUGGGGGACCUUCGGGCCUCACGCUAUUGGAUGAGCCUAAGUCGGAUUAGCUUGUUGGUGGGGUAACGGCUCACCAAGGCGACGAUCCGUAGCUGGUCUGAGAGGACGAUCAGCCACACUGGGACUGAGACACGGCCCAGACUCCUACGGGAGGCAGCAGUGGGGAAUAUUGGACAAUGGGCGCAAGCCUGAUCCAGCAAUGCCGCGUGUGUGAAGAAGGCCUGCGGGUUGUAAAGCACUUUCAGUAGAGAAGAAAAGCCUGAGGUUAAUACCCUCGAGUCUUGACGUAACCUACAGAAGAAGCACCGGCUAACUCCGUG
rnacentral:rRNA from 1 species